GCGGGCCUGCAGGGUGCUGUGAGGAGAGGCCAGUUCCAGCGGCCCCAUCACAGGGCAGGCCUGGGCCCAGCAGCUCAGGGGAAAUAUGUCUGAAAAAGGGUGAAACUACCCAGCAGUGAGGGGAAAACAAGUGCAGGGAAUGGCCCUGUGGCACUAGGGUCAGGGCAGGAGGCAGCGGGAGGUGCUCCAGGCCCGGGGCUCCCUGCAGCCUGUGGAGAAACCAUGUUGGAGCCGGGGGAUGUGCCCUGAAGGAACUGCAGCCCAUGGAAAGGAGCCCGUGUUGGAGCAGUCUGUGAAGGCCUGCGGCCCAUGGAGGAGCCAGCAUGGAGCAGGGCAUGAGUGUGGAGAAAGGAGCAGCAGGGAGGAGCUGUUAUGCACUGACCAUGGCCACCAUGCCUUUCCCCUGCGCCACACGGUGUGAGGGAGGAGGCAGAGGAGUUGGGAAUGGAGUGAAGUUGAUCCUGGGGCGUCUUUUGCAGGAUGAGCAAAUGGAGCAGAAUUAUUACCUGAGUGGAGGAGAGAAAAGUUCUUAAAGACAGCCUGCAAGGUUCUGAUGAUAUUAUGCCACUGGAAAUACGAAAAUUUACCCGACAUCUUAUGUUACCAGAACUGAACUUGGGGCAGAUGACAAACUAAACAAACCUGUCAAUUUAGCCAAAUGUGAGUACUCCAAUAUAAAUAUUUGCAAGCAUUUCUUGAAGAGGUAUCAAUAUUGUCCAAAAUCUACAAGCAAAACACCUCAAAAAAUUGUCACAUGGAGGGUAAUGUCAGGAGGUUUAAUUCCACAACUGAGUUUUUUUCACAGUGGUCUAAAGCCUGCAGAAGGUGAAUAGGGGUGGUGGUGUAUUCAGAUCUUGUGCUACUUUGAAAAUCCUCCCCAAGAUUUUUGCUUUCAGGAAAACCAGACAAACCCAAUAAAACAAGCAGGGCUCCACGCCUGCCUCAG